rnacentral:lncRNA from 1 species
AGACUCACCGGGAGUUGAAGAGGUAAGAAUGACCCUAACUCCACUGGGGAUAAUGGACUGCAGUAUGGGUGUGACUCCUAUGGGGAUGAGGAAUAGUGGCCUGCUGCUGACUCCAUUGAGGAUGAUAGGUCACGGCUUGGGUGCAACGGCCGAGGUACAACUCCACUGGGGAUGACAGGAGACACAAGGCUUCAGCUGGAACUAGGCGACAAAAGAUGGCUUGAAAUACAGCUGACGCCAAGUGUAGCAAUAAUUGUUUCUUGCCAGUGUUCAACCGGCGUCGAGUUCUCAAAAACACAACCGGCGGUAGGUUGUUAAAACUCAACUGGCGUUGUGAACGGGCCGUGACAUUGUUUGAACACAAACGACG